GCGACCAGGAUUAGAUCUUCUAUUGGAGGAGGUCACAAGAUAGGCGGAGCAGGUGCGUGGUUUUACCUCUCCUUUACUAUUAUGUAAUUUAAAGUCUUCCUGAUGAAUACAAUUACAAUUAAGUUAUGUUUAAUGCAAACAAAGUCUGGUGUAUUAACAAGAUUAACUUUGGCUAAUGGCAUCCGUAAUAGGAUUGCCGGGAAAUGAAUCUCAAGAUUAGCUUCGGCUAAUGACAUCCGUGAUAGGAUUUCCAGGAAGUGAAUUAUAAGAUUAGCUUCAGCUAAUAACAUCCACGUCGAGAUGCUUGGGAACAAACGAUAAGGCUCGAUUCGUAAAAGGUAUCCAUGUUUGGAUGACCUGAGAGAAUUGAUAAGUAUAAUUGCCUAAACUAUCCAAGUGGGACUAUGCAAAGUUGAAGAUUUAAUAAAACCAAUUAGGCAAAAUUACUAGGUUCAUGCAAGAAAAUAAAAGUAUUCAAUUAAGAAUACGUAAAUGAUGUCUAAUUGAGUUUUUAAAUGAGUAUAUAUAUAAGAAUUUAUAAGUUGAUUAUUAGAAUUCUUGGGAAACUAAUAGAAAACUUAUGCUUUAUUUGUAUUCAUUAUAUGAUCAUUUUUGUUUCUACUGACAACAUAAUUGUAUGCUUAUUAAAUCGUCGUUGUAACAGGUCCAUCUAAUACCCAGGGAGCUCAUCAGUUUUUAGGACUCUGUUUUGCUAAGCUUAUGUAAAAAAAAAAAAAAGAGCUCAAGCAUAAUAGUAUUAGCUAGGUUAUGCAAUAUGCUUUUGUGUAAACUUUGAUGUAUAUAAAACUCUUGGCUCAGCAUGUAGUAUAUUAAUUAUGUAAACUCUGAUAUAAUGUAUGAAUCAUAACUCCUUAGCUACCUUAUAUUUAGCCCUUUGAAAUUUUUAAGAAUACUGGUGUUAUGUUUUAAAUUCUCU
rnacentral:lncRNA from 1 species